UAGCCUAGUGGUUAAGGCUACGGAUCGCCAAUCCGGAGACGGCGGGUUCGAUUCCCAU
rnacentral:tRNA from 1 species